rnacentral:rRNA from 1 species
UCCUACGGGAGGCAGCAGUAGGGAAUAUUGGGCAAUGGGCGAAAGCCUGACCCAGCAACGCCGCGUGUGUGAUGAAGGCCUUCGGGUCGUAAAUCACUUUUCUGGGAGAUGAGAAAGGACAGUAUCCCAGGAAUAAGUCUCGGCUAACUACGUGCCAGCAGCCGCGGUAAU